UAAAACACUCCGAUUUCUCCAAAGCCACUCCUUCCGAAAAGCCCAGAGUGCUCUGAUUGUCCAGCUGACCUGUUGCAUUGUGAUUGGCCAAAAACCUCAAGCAUGUGUCGGAAAUGUAACACCCCUUGGGUUAGCUCCAGUCUCCAAAGCUUCUAAAGCAAUCCUAAGCUCCUAAGCAACAUGUUUAAUUUUAUCAUAUCAGUUUGAGCCGUCCGAUUCAGAAAAUGUGGGUGAUCACGCGGAACCAACUUUGCAAACAUGACUUGUGCAGAGCAUUUCAGUGGUGAUAUUUAUAAAACACAGACAGACAAUCCAAAACAUGAUGCAAAGUCGAGAUCAGAAACAGAGCAGAGAUUCAGGUGAACAGCAAACCACGUACAACAGGCAAAAUCCAGAAAUUGUGGAAGAUAUACAACAAAAGCUUGUGAUUUUACAAUGGGACGGUAUGGUGGUGCAGAGGGUAGAGCUACCAUCCCACAGCUCCAGAAUUAUUGUCUGUGUGGAGCCAUGUUCUCCCGAAGUCCACAUGUGUUUCUUCCCACCACCACCUCCUAAAGACAUGCUGUAAUCCUGACCCCUUCUACUCUCUGGACCUCCCUGAUCCUUCCUGAUGUCAUAUUUCUGGUUGAAGUUCUCAUCAAUUGGAACUUACAUGCUGCUGCUGAGGAUGGCCUCACAUGGUGCAGCCUAAAGAUCUUUGAGAUUCCUGAGGAUGGCAUCACAUAAAAACCAUAAAG
ensembl:lncRNA